UUAUGAUUGUUUGGCUCAACUAUAAC
rnacentral:piRNA from 1 species